rnacentral:tRNA from 1 species
GCCUUGGUCGUCUAGUGGUCUAGGAUACAGGCUUGUCGAGCCUGUAACCCGGGUUCGAAUCCCGGCCAAGGCG